GGAGAUAAGGUUAUGUCAAGAGGAGUUUGCAAUGUUAAUUCGAAGGUAUAUAUGAUAAGUAUGAAUGGAUAAUGUGAAGAACAAGAAUGGUUUGUGCCAGAUGUUUAGAGGAAAAACAGAAGCAAUUCGUAUAUACGCUCAGAUGAGGCAGAAGGGUAUUCAAUGCAAGUUUCUCUAAAUAUCCUUUCUGCCGGAAAUAUCCCAGGAAAUUACUUGUAAAUUUUCAAACUGGAAAAACGGAUAGGAAUUGUUGCGUGUUCAGCGAAUAACCCCUGCAGUCCACAACAACAGUUGCUCUUUCGGAUGAAUUGAAUAACAUACUAGGACUAAUUUCUCAGGUGCAAGAAUAACUACAACAACAACUAAGAUGAUGAACCAAAAUUCGUUUGAUGUCUACUCAUCCAUCCAAAUGUCCAUAAAAAAUUCUGUUUGGAACAUAAAAUUCUAUAUUUCCUAACAUUUAGGGAACAGGAAGAAAAAUCAGUAUAAAUUCCAUCCUUUUGUCCUUUACUUUCCAGAACAAUAUUUUGUGUAAGAUCAACAAGUCAGUGAUUUAUAUUAUGAAAUUUCAUGUUAACUGAUACUUUAACGAAAUCG